rnacentral:rRNA from 1 species
AUACGUAUGUCGCAAGCGUUAUCCGGAUUUAUUGGGCGUAAAGCGCGUCUAGGCGGUUUAGUAAGUCUGAUGUGAAAAUGCGGGGCUCAACCCCGUAUUGCGUUGGAAACUGCUAAACUAGAGUACUGGAGAGGUAGGCGGAACUACAAGUGUAGAGGUGAAAUUCGUAGAUAUUUGUAGGAAUGCCGAUGGGGAAGCCAGCCUACGGGACAGAUACUGACGCUAAAGUGCGAAAGCGUGGGUAGCAAACAGGAUUAGAUACCCUGGUAGUCCACGCCGUAAACGAUGAUUACUAGGUGUUGGGGGUCGAACCUCAGCGCCCAAGCUAACGCGAUAAGUAAUCCGCCUGGGGAGUACGUACGCAAGUAUGAAACUCAAAGGAAUUGACGGGG